CCUACGGGAGGCAGCAGUGAGGAAUAUUGGUCAAUGGGCGCGAGCCUGAACCAGCCAAGCCGCGUGAAGGAUGACUGCCCUACGGGUUGUAAACUUCUUUUAUAAAGGAAUAAAGUGAGGCACGUGUGCCUUUUUGUAUGUACUUUAUGAAUAAGGAUCGGCUAACUCCGUGCCAGCAGCCGCGGUAAUACGGAGGAUCCGAGCGUUAUCCGGAUUUAUUGGGUUUAAAGGGAGCGUAGACGGGUUGUUAAGUCAGUUGUGAAAGUCUGGGGCUCAACCCUAGAAUUGCCAUUGAUACUGUCAGGCUUGAGUACAGUUGAGGUAGGCGGAAUGCGUGGUGUAGCGGUGAAAUGCAUAGAUAUCACGAAGAACUCCGAUUGCGAAGGCAGCCUACGAAACUGCCACUGACGUUGAGGCACGAAAGUGUGGGGAGCAAACAGGAUUAGAUACCCGAGUAGUC
rnacentral:rRNA from 1 species